AGCAACAACAACAAUGGAAUAAAGAUGGCCUCCAGGAGCAGUGGGUUUGUGGGGUGCAGGCACCAAGCCUCAGGGAUAACCCUGGAGGCAAACAAACAAACAAACAAAAACAAGUGUAAACUAGGGAGUUGUUCUGCUUCUGACCUGGAUGAAAGAAAAAGUCCUGCUAUGAGCUGCCUGCAGGGUGAGGCACCAACCCUAUAGCUAGAAGGAACUGUAGUUUCUUGCCACUCACAAGCUGGGAAGAAGAUCCAAGGCUAAACUAGGUCAGAGAUUGAGCACUUCCUGACUUCAGCCCUGGGAGACUCUGAGCAUAGAACCCAGUGGAUCUGUGCCAAGACUUCUAACCCCCAAGGCCACAGGAUACUACAUGGCCAUAACUGUAAGCCAUGGGCUCUGGUCAUUCCAUUGCAGUAGUGAAUGCAGCAUGCUAGCCAAGCAGGAUGAUGACAGCCACUCUCACUGUGGCCACCUCCCCUGUUUCCUGAAUCCUGCUUUCUCUCAACUGUCCAUCAUCUGUCACCUGUUGGAGAUGAAUAGCAAUUAUGUCCUCUGUAAAUAGCAUCCUCUGACAGUAGUGGUGUUUUGUUUAUGAGAACAGUGUCUAUAGCAGCAUGGCUGCAUUUGAGCCUGGCAAGGUAUUUAACAUUACAGUCAAAUUUGAGGAAGUCAAGUAUUCUCUCUGUAGCUCCAUCCCUUCAUCUGUGAUGAUAUGAUAGAAAACGCAGUGCCUCUUCACAGUGUCAUUGUGAGAAAAAAGCCAGCAUGUUAAAGGGCUAAGGAGAGUGAUUAGCACCUCCCCCUUACCACCAUUACCACCACCACUGCUGUCAUCAUGGACCUUAUCAUCAUUACACCACGAGCACCAUUUUCAUCAGCCCUGUCAACAUCACCAGCAUGACGACAUCAUCAUCUCCAUUGCUGUCAUCACCACCUGAGUCACCACUGUCACCGACAUCAUCACCACCAUCACCAUUGGCACCAUCAGCAUCACCACCACCAUCCUUUCCAUCACCAGCAUUCCACCAUUGCCAUAACUGCCAGUCAGGAAAGGAGAGAUGCCACGGCCUGCAUCACCAUCCAAGAAGCUCCCUCCUACCCAUCACUCUUCUCUGCAUUUGGCUCCUCUUCUCUCCCUAGUCCCAGGAGCAAGGGGCCAACGGAAUGAAAGGCUGCUGUGCAGAAGCCAGCCCCUCAGACCCCAGAGGGGCCCCAGAGCCUCAGGUGUGAAGUCAGAGGUGUACCCGAUGAUGUCCCACAGUGCUGGCUGCAGAGUUCUCUUUGCCCACGCAAGACCAGGAGUUACCUGAGUGUGACACCAAGGACACCGAGUGAAGCACAGUACAGACCUCUGGGAGUCUGGGCAGCUGCUCAGAAACAGUCACAGCUGCAGGGCAGUCACACCAGGAAAGUGGCUGCCAUGAAUUGUCUGUCAAUCCUUGCUAAACCUGUCAAACCAUAAGAAAGGAAACAGACAUCGGCCCACAGAUAGCUCUGCCUUGAGGGACCAGAGCAGCUGUCACAGCUGAUGGCAGGGACCAGCCAAGGAGGUAGGUCUCAGGCAGGGUCUUCCUACUCCUGGCAUUUUCUGCAACAAAAAAGGGUGGAGCACAGGUAAAGUGACAACUUGGACCUCAGAGACAUCACACUCGCAGAUAACAGGUGAGUCUCAAAAGACCACCUACUCCAUGGCUCCCCUUCUGUGAGAAGCCUGAGGGAGGCUUGGGCUGUGAUGGCAUAAGGGUUUGAGGGUUUCAUGGGAGGUAAUGACAAUGUUCUGAAAUGAAUCGUGGUGAUGGAUUAAACACCAGAAGCCACUGAGCUGAAUGUGUCAAGUGAGACAGCUCCAGGGUAUGUGCUGCUGCUCUCUUCUCUCUCUCAAAAGAGCUGUUACCAACAAAGUAGGAGGAGGGGAGGGGAGACAACACAGUGGUUCUGCAAAAGACUCUCAUGCCUAAGGCUCAGAGGUCCCAGGUUCAAUCCCCAGCACUGCCAUCAGUCAGAGCUAAGAUCUGGUUUAAAAAGCCAAAUAGGGGAGUCGGGCAGUAUCGCAGUGGGUUAAGUGCAAGGACUGGCAGAAGGAUCCCCGUUUGAGCUUCUGGCUCCCCACCUGCAGGGGAGUUGAUUCACAGCUGCUGAAGCAGGUCUGCAGGUGUCUUUCUCUCCCUCUCUCUGUCUUCCCCUCCUCUCUGUCCUAUCCAACAAUAUCAGUAACAAUAACAAUAAAAAGACAAGGGCAGCAAAAGAGAAAAAUAAAUAAAUAAAAAUUUUAAAAAAGAGUCCAGUGAUUUAAAAAAAAAAGCCAAAUAGAUGGGAGUCAGGCAGUAGUGCAGUGGGUUAAGCGCAGGUGGUGCAAAGCGCAAGGACCUGUGUAAAGAUCCUGGUUCGAAGCUCCUGGUUCCCCACCUGUAGGGGAGUCACUUCACAGGCGGUGAAGCAGGUCUGCAGCUGUCUAUCUUUCUCUCCCUGUCUUCCCUUCCUCUCUCCAUUUCUCUCUGUCCUAUCUUACAACAACAAUGAAAAACAACAAGAGCAACAAAAGGGAAAAUAAUGUUAAAAAAAAAAGCCAAAUAGAUUUCCCCAAAUUGACUGCAACUAAGUCAAGUUUGUACCUGUGGCACAGAAGCUCUACCAUCAGAGCUCCUUGGUCCCCUGUCAUCAGCACACACCAUGCUCGAGAGGUUCUCCUGAGGCUGCCAUACAACCGUCAGAGGGACACUGUCAGGCACAGCCUGUGAUACUUCCUCCUGGACGCAAGAGACAAAGCUCUUUGUAAGGGGCCCAGUCCUUGCCCAGGAUGGCACCUCACACGAGGACCCUUCCCUCAUCCCUUCUCUAUUGUUCUCUCCUCCCAGGAGGGCUGCUCUGCCCCUAAUAAAUGGGCCCUUCCAUGCCUCGCUGUUCUGUUCUCUUCACUGAACUGGGUGACCACCACCUAUUUUCAGUGCACAGGACACAAGGACCAGAGAAAAUGGGGACAGAGUCCCCCCACACACAUACACACCCUCAGCUCCUUGAU